rnacentral:lncRNA from 12 species
UUUUUUUUCAUUGUUCUGAUGUUUCCUCCUUUGAAUUCCCAUUUCAGGAUUCUUACUUAAAAGAACAGCUCCUUGAAAAUACACAGUCACUCGUUUCUGUCCUCACCUGGUCAAUCUCUCCCAGUUUCAACCCAGUAACACAGCGGUACUCAAGACACAAGUCGACCAACCUCACCCCCAACAGAUUACUUAAAAGAACAGCUCUUGAAAAUACACAGUCACUCGUUUCUGUUUUUCUGCAUCUCUCCCAGCCGUGAGGCAUGAAAAUGAAAUGUUUUGUGGGUGAUGACUUGUACUUGUGUGCUUCCCUGGUAUCUGGCCCAAGUUUUCUAUCCAUCACAGGGUCGAUAAGCCAGCUUGGGGAAAAGAAGAAGUGAGCUGUGUUUGUUUUUGGUAUUUAACAGUUCUUUGUUGGUUUGCAUGAUGAAGGAUGUCUAACAACUGUUAUAUACUCAUUAAAAAAAAAAUCUCUUAAGAGUUGGAGAAACCAUCUGAUUCCGGGGUGCAGAAGCCUGCUGGUACUCGCUGCUUGUGAGGAGGAACACAUGCGUUCGCUCCCUACACGUUGCACUGC